CCUCCCCUAUAUUGUAUCUCUUUUUGAAAGUCGCACCAUGGGCGGAAUUUAUACCUUAUUGGGCACAUAGCCAGCAUGUGUCUAGUUCACUAGACUCACACAAUGGUAUAAAUUUAGGAUUGGUAAUAAAUAAAAAAUAUAAAUUUAGGAUUGGUAAUAAAUAAAUAAAUAAAUAAUUGUCGUGCCGGUGGACGAAUGGGGAACAUCUCAAACAGACGCAAGAUGUAUGUGCCGAUUCCAAAACCAACCCAAAUCAGCCAAAUUUAAGAUGUGUCGGUGCAUACCCAACGCCAUAACACUGCUGCCAACCAAAAUUGUGUCUAAGUUUGGCAAGACAGAUACAUCUACAUAUCGACAGUUACAACGCACAUUGAACGGAGCAUUUGAAAUAGAAGAGGAGCUAAUGUCAAGAGUAAAACCUUACUACAAAAAAUGGCAAUUAGACCUCGAAUGCACCGUGACUUGGCAUCGUGACGUCGUGGCUGCUAAGAACAUUCUACUGAAAGGACUAUGGACAUUGCUUGGACUUCCAAUACCUGCUGCAAUCAACCGAUAUUGGAAUCAAAUCAACGCCGAUGCCGCCGUCUUCGACGACGAUAACGACGUGGACAUAUGUGGACGAAUUCGAAUAGCAGCCAACUAAUCAUCACAAUACCAUACAAUAAAACAAAAUAAAUCAUAAGUAACAUUUGUUACAUAUCUGCUAUUCCGAAUAUGUGGGUUAGUUAUGCACAAAAAAAGUCAUGUCCCAUUUGGUUGAGAUGGCUGUGCGGGAGUACAAACGGAGCGUUUUUCCAUUAUAUGGGAAACACCCUAAUUGAACGUCGAUCUGUGCAUUAUUACUCCUUCAAACGAACUGUGUUUAAGUCAUACACGUCGAUUCAAGUCUUGCACACACUUCGUUCAGAAGGAGCAAUAAUGCAUGGAGUGUUGCGGUAAUUAUCGGAUACUCACAAAAUAUCCCGGAUAAAUAUCUAUGCUCAGUAUAUGGUCUGAUUCAAAAUUAAAUAAAUAUCAGAAUCAUUUUAACAUACUCAAUAUAAAGGUGGCACAUAUCAUUUAAAAUCGAAAUAAAAUAGGUUAUUACCCAUUUCAUUCCCCCAAAUUUUUCGAUAGUUUUUCGCUACUCAUCUAACCUCACUGAUCUAAUAGAUAUUUCACUUGGUGGAUAAACAUCUCUAUAGUGACUCAACACUGCUAAAAUGCUUGUAAUGAUCCAUAGAACCAGAAUCGCGAUGUGCACAUGAAGGUUUUUCGGCCCCCUACAAAUUGACCCACCGUACUCUACAGAUAUAUAAUUUCAGUUCAAUAUUAGAAUAAUAUUUCUGGCAUGAAAAUAGGGCAAUUCUAUAUCAAAACAUGUGUUCA